rnacentral:tRNA from 1 species
GUUGGUUUAGCAUAAGAAAUGCAUUUGUUUUAAGCGCAAAAGAUAACCUACCAACUAACA